rnacentral:rRNA from 1 species
CCUACGGGGGGCAGCAGUGAGGAAUAUUGGUCAAUGGGCGUAAGCCUGAACCAGCCAAGUCGCGUGAAGGAUGACUGUUCUAUGGAUCGUAAACUUCUUUUAUAAGGGAAUAAAGCGUGGGACGUGUCCCAUUUUGUAUGUACCUUAUGAAUAAGGAUCGGCUAACUCCGUGCCAGCAGCCGCGGUAAUACGGAGGAUCCGAGCGUUAUCCGGAUUUAUUGGGUUUAAAGGGUGCGUAGGGGGGCUUUUAAGUCAGGUGUGAAAGUAUGUGGCUCAAGCAUAAAAUUGCCGUUGAUACUGGGGGGUUUGAGUAUGUGUGGUAGGCGGAAUUCGUGGUGUAGCGGUGAAAUGCUUAGAUAUCACGCAGAACCCCGAUUGCGAAGGCAGCCUGCUAAGCUAUGACUGACGCUGAUGCACGAAAGCGUGGGGAUCAAACAGGAUUAGAUACCCCUGUAGUC